UAACGCGUGGAUAACCUGCCUUUCACAGGGGGAUAACAGCUGGAAACGGUUGCUAAUACCGCAUGAGCCUCUUUUGUCNCAUGACGGGAGAGGGAAAGAGAAAUCGGNGAGAGAUGGAUCCGCGUCCGAUUANCUAGUUGGAGGGGUAACAGCCCACCNAGGCGACGAUCGGUAGCCGACCUGANAGGGUGGACGGCCACAUUGGGACUGANACACGGCCCAAACUCCUACNGGAGGCAGCAGUGGGGAAUAUUGCNCNAUGGGGGAAACCCUGAUGCANCAACGCCNCGNGAGUGAGGAAGUAUUUCGGUAUGUAAAGCUCUAUCNGCAGGGAAUAGAAAAGAAGGNACCUGANAAAGAAGCCCCGGCUAACUACNUGCCAGCNGCCGCGNUAAUACNUANGGGGCAAGCGUUAUCCGGAUUUACUGGNUGUAAAGGGAGCGUANACNGANAGGCAAGUCAGAANNGAAAACCCAAGGCUCAACCAUGGGACUGCUUUUGAAACUGUCAAACUAGAGUACGGGAGAGGUAAGAGGAAUUCCUAGUGUAGCGGUGAAAUGCAUAGAUAUCACACAGAACACCGAUUGCGAAGGCAUCUCACGAAUCCGCGAUUGACGCUGAUGCACGAAAGCGUGGGUAUCAAACAGGAUUAGAUACCCUGNNAGNCCACGCUGUANACGAUGAUGACUAACCGU
rnacentral:rRNA from 1 species